CACAAGUUUGAAAAUUUUAACAUUCUGCAGACGGGUGUGAGUAUUUUCUUUGUUGCACCAAGGGGACUCUAUAAGCUUCUUCUUUACAUAAAGAAACAUUACAAGAAUCCCAAAAUUUAUAUCACUGAGUGCGGAAUGGGUGAGUCCAAUAUUACCAAAGUUGAAGAGGGUGUGAAUGAUAUCCAGAGAGUUGAUUU